rnacentral:rRNA from 1 species
CAGUCGCCGCGGGAAUACGAAGGGGGCUAGCGUUGCUCGGAAUGACUGGGCGUAAAGGGCGCGUAGGCGGAUUGUUUAGUUAGGCGUGAAAUUCCUGGGCUUAACCUGGGGACUGCGCUUAAUACAGGCAGUCUAGAGUGAGGAAGAGGGUUGUGGAAUUCCCAGUGUAGAGGUGAAAUUCGUAGAUAUUGGGAAGAACACCGGUGGCGAAGGCGGCGACCUGGUCCUUGACUGACGCUGAGGCGCGAAAGCGUGGGGAGCAAACAGGAUUAGAUACCCCAGUAGUCCCUGUCUCUUAUAC